GGGGCCAGGAACGGAGCCCAGGUACUACAACACGGGACACUGGGGGCCAGGAACGGAGCCCAGGUACUAUAACACGGGACACUGGGGGCCAGGAAUGGGACCCAGGUACUACAACACGGGACACUGGGGGCCAGGAACGGGACCCAGGUACUACAACACGGGACACUGGGGGCCAGGAACGGAACCCAGGUACUACAACACGGGACACUGGGGGCCAGGAACGGAACCCAGGUACUACAACACGGGACACUGGGGGCCAGGAACGGGACCCAGGUACUACAACACGGGACACUGGGGGCCAGGAACGGGACCCAGGUACUACAACACGGGACACUGGGGGCCAGGAACGGGACCCAGGUACUACAACACGGGACACUGGGGGCCAGGAACGGGACCCAGGUACUACAACACGGGACACUGGGGGCCAGGAAUGGGACCCAGGUACUACAACACGGGACACUGGGGGCCAGGAAUGGGACCCAGGUACUACAACACGGGACACUGGGGGCCAGGAACGGAGCCCAGGUACUACAACACGGACGCCGCUGGGCCCAAUGCCCACUUCUGUACAUGUUUGUGAUGAGUCACCGUACGUUUUCCAUAAUCGCUGCAGCAUUUCCAGUGCCAACAGCAAUGCACAAGGACGCCUGCUAUUUCUUUCCUGCUACCACUGACUGAGCACUCAACACGGGACAAGAGUGUGUACCCAAAACCAUUUAUUCCCUCCAGUCACACAG